CUGAAAAUUUAACUGAUUUUUUUUUUUACACUUCACUUUAUAAGAUGCAAUCGGUUUAAAAGCGGUGACAUCAUUUUCAUUCUAAUGCCUCAACUUCCUUAAGGAUUCAAGUAUAUACGAGACGGCCGCGUGCACCGGGCGAUCGGUUGAAAUACCCAUAGCCACGAAUCUAAUGCUCCGAUCUUUAUGAAAUUUAUUGGAAUCUCCGCGUGAAAAAGCUCGUACAAGUGUGCUUGUGACUUUUGCCAUUGACGCGUGUAACAGCAGGAAGAAGACCAAAAGAGAGCUAUCGGUCCCUUCAACGAAGCUUGAGUAAAAUAAAUUGCCGAAUGACACGAGAGUGUACCUGACUCAUCCAGAAGGGCGGAGGAACAGUCAUUUUUCUAACUGUCUCUUUUACGAUCACGCAAUCGAAUGUACCACUUUAAUGCGGAAGCUUAAAAAUGUCGGAGUAAGCUAUUUUGGAGUAUCGAAGUGGUCGGAUAUGGAACCUCGUUGAUUUCGACCGAGUUGGAACUUGUUUGGAGAACAAUUAAUCGCUUUGUGAGGACGAAACAAUAAAAAAUGCAUCGAGUCGGAUGUUUCUCGAAUGCACAUCAAAUGACUGUUUUGCUGAAAUCAAUUAACAAAAGCUUGCCAGUGAGCCCCACUCGCUGAACCGUAGUCGCACUUUGCAGUUGCCUCGCAUCAGUAAUUUCCUUCCAAAGCAUAUUUCCACGAAAAACCAGCACGCUCGGCCAACUCUCAUACAAGUUUAGUGCUCCAGUUGCACCGAUGACGGUUCAAACGCGCGCGAGGAAAUGAUUUGUCGCAGUCCCGGUCCCAUCUCCCAUGGGCUCGUCCAGCGCAACGUUCGAAACGACAUUUUCUCUCUCUUUCUCUUUCACUCCGCUUUUCUCUCUUGUUCAAAUGAACUCUCCGGGCCAUUGUGUCCAUUGCGGAAACGCGUCGUCACUCGAUCCACAAUUCCCAAUCGUUGUUCACUCAGCCAUGAAACACCAGCAGAAAACACGUUUCGAACGUUUGUGCUCACUAACAAUUAUCAGUUUUCUCUCGAUGAGCGAGAAAUGCAUCAAACGAAACGAGCAACAAUCGCAUUUGUCAUUUAUACACUUUGAUCGACAUCCGCUCGCCAGAGGUCCUUUUUACGCUGCGAGCUCACAUUCGACCUCGAAACAUGGAAAGCCUCUUCGUCUUACCAACGUGAAUUUAGUUUCUGCUUUUCAAUUUACAUGAAAAAAUGAUAAUUGUGUACUUUUAGAUGAAUAAAUAACUGUUCCGCAA